CUUGUGCGAUGUCUUUCUGAACUGCCCCGACUAUCUGAGCUCUCAUAAUGCCAUCCGAACCUCUCCGAUAAUGAGCUCCCCCAUUCAUCUACCGGACUGCUUCAAAUACUCUUCGGGCUUUAUUAUCAGCCGACUUUCUACAGUAACCAGAUUCCAUCCAAGUUUCUACGACGGUCGAUCGCCCUCUGGAUUUCAUCCGAGCUUCUACCGCAAGCAGUCU
rnacentral:lncRNA from 1 species